AAUAUGGGCUGUUUGGUUUUCUCGCAUGAAUGAAUUUGCUUUCAGCUGAGAAUUUACUUUUAACAAAUAAGCUGUUUUACAGGAUGCAAAGGUGGAAGGGGUGGAGUGUCUUAUGACUUACUACACUGUGGGUGCAGACACUGACAUGAUUUCUGGAUCCUCAUGUAUCUGCCUUGCUUGUUUGGACAAGAAAGAAAGCCUACUUAUAGAAUAAGCAACUAUUAGAAAACUCUGUCUCGAGAUAUCUCCAUCACUUGAAGAAGGACUGCAAGCUGUAUUCUGUGUGAAGGAGGCUUCCUUCUCUGUAUCUCUCUUCUAAGGGCAAGGAGGAAGUAUAGGAAGAAUUGUUGGAGGGAAAGAAUUAGUCAUUUGAAAUCAGCUGAAAUUGGGAAUAGUUUUAUGCUUGUUGUAAUGUAAAAGUGCAUAAUUUUUUUCUGUGUUUUGAAAAUGUAUUAUCCUGUGAGCUUGUAAAGGACAACAAAAGACCUAAAAAUACAUUGGAUCAAAUAGUUUUGUAUUUUCAUUCACAGUCUUAUGUAUUUCAGUUCCUGUUUUCUCACUGUUAUAAACAGUAGUCUUUAAAUUAUUUUUUUUUCUUUUUUUUUUUUCUUUUUUUUCCCCUGCAAUUCUGUACAGGUCAUGUAGAUGUCUACUAGUCAUUAAAUGGCAUCAAAAGAAUGUGCAUAAUCAAACUUCCACAAACAGGAUUACUUGCUGUAUGUUGUUCUUACUGUUAAGUAUUUACAGGGUCAAUUAAUUGGAAGUUAAACCUGGAGGCAUCUUUCUAACUGUGGCCAAUAAUAUAUAUCCCUUGAAAAAUCUUGGUUAAGUUGCUUGAAUAACAUAAUGAACAGUCUAUUUUAACAGAAUAAUAACAAUCCAAUCAGACUAAAUCUUAAAGCAAACCAAAUACUAAUUGUUUUCAACAAAUUUCCAAUGAAACGGUUAACUUUCCAAUACUGUUCGAUUAUGAUGAUUAAACUUAAAAAUCUAGAAUUAUUAAGAGAGUAAUCUUACAGCUCUUUCUAUCCAUCAAAAUCGAGGACCACUGUAAAUCUCAGGAGAAACCCUUUUCUCACAAGAGUUAUUAGACCAAUUCUAAAUCAGCUGAUGG
rnacentral:lncRNA from 1 species